CUUUAGAAGAGAGAAACAGCUAGAAUGAAACUAACAGUUACUCUUGUGUUCCUUGUGGCUUUUGCCCUGAUUGUCGGAGUUCAGUCUGCUUCUCAAGAUGGACAUGACCAUCAUGAACACCAUCAACAUGAAGGUAAGACAU
rnacentral:lncRNA from 1 species